AAAGCACUCUGAAGAGAGAGUUAAAUAGUACGUAAAACCGUACAGAAGAAAACGAAUGGCCGCAUUCAUCAGAUUACUUUGAAUUCAAUUCGAUCUCUAUAUGAUGGUGAUACAUGUUGAUUUCGAACUUCAACAGUCGAUCGAUAUGUUAUUGCUUGGAGUCGGAUGCAUUUUCAAAGUAUUAACUGAACCUGGAUCUAUAACAUUGAAAGCUAGUCGAAUCAGUCUAUUUUGGUGGCGAGUUUACUCGUGUUAAAAAUAUGACUUGCAUAAAUAACAAAUUCGACUUGGCGUUAUAGGUAAACAGACAAGUUCUUUGAUUUCAGUACUUUCGAGUACGGCAUACUAUGUGCAUUGUUGGUGUCACAUGAGUAACUAAUAUUUAACCGAUAUUAGUUUUAUUCAUUGUCGGUGCCUAAUGUUGUAUGGUUGUCAAUGAAAUCGGCAAGUCUACAGGAGUUUUGAAUGCCGAGUUAUUCGACCCGUCUUGAAACACGGUCUAAGGAGUUCACUGCAUGUGCAAGAGUUCGGCUGUAUGAAAAGCCUUGCUCGUAAUGAAAGUAAAGAACAUUCUUGCAAUGUUUUAAGUGUGAUUUCUGUCAUCUGGUGCAAAUCAUGACAAUGAACGCAACACUGACAGGUUCUAUUGCCGUUGGCAAAGAGCUUAGUAAGAGUAUAUGCAAUGAGACCCGAAAGAUGGUGAACUUAAUGUGUGUAGAAUGAAGCCAGGGGAAACCCUGGUGGAAGUUCGUAGCGGUUCUGACGUGCAAAUCGAUCGUCAAACAUGCAUUAAGGGGCGAAAGACUAAUCGAACCAUCUAGUAGCUGGUUCCGUCCGAAGUUUCCCUCAGGAUAGCUGGCAUUCAAUUUUCACAGUUAUAUCCGGUAAAGCGAAUGUUUAGAGGCCUUGGGCGUAAAAUACGCUCAACCUAUUGACAAACUUUAAAUGGGUAUGAAGUUCAUUUUUCUACUUCAUUGAGAAUGAACAGCGAAUGUGAGUGCCAAGUGGGCCAUUUUUGGUAAGCAGAACUGGCGCUGUUGGAUGCACAAAACGUCAAGAUAAAGAGCCAGAUGGUCUCGCUCAUCAGAUACCAUAAAAGGUGUUGGUCGAUAUAGACAGCAGGACGGUGGCCAUGGAAGUCGGAAUCCGUUAAGGAGUGUGUAACAACUCACCUGCCGAAUCGACUAGUCCUAAAAAUGGAUGGCGCUCGAGCGAGCCUCUUAUACUUGACUGUUACGAUACAAUAAGCCAUUAUAACGGACAUCAUGUCGUAACAAGUAGGACGGUUGAUAUGGUUGCGUCGAAGGCUAACACGUGAGUGUGGCUUGAGCAGUCAUAUGUACAGAUCUUAGUGGUAGUAGCAACUAUUCAAAUGAGAACUUUGAAGACUGACGUGGAGAAAGGUUCCAUGUGAACAGCUAUUGGACAUGGGUCAGUCAGUCCUAAGAUGCGCUCGAAAGAGGGUUCCGAACGAGGAAUAUUUAUAUUCAUUUUAUUUAUAUUCCAUCAAAUCGAAAGGGAAACAAGUUAAUAUUCUUGUACUAAGUGUCGGAGAUUGUUUGAUUUCUUGUCAAACAUAUGUGGUAACACAAACAAGCUCAAAUACAUCACAAGUGGUCCUGGAAAGAGUUUUCUCUUCUUUGUUACUUCAUCAGACGACCCUGGAAUCAGUUCAACUGGAGAUAGGGUUCAAAUGAAGGUAAAGAGUAGCCGUUCUUGCUACUUCCUCGGUGCAUCAUUUGUGAUCCUUGAAAAUUUGAGCGAGAUAUUCAAUUUCGCACUUAUCUGUACUCUAAACCGCAUCAGGUCUCCAAGGUGAAAAGCCUCUAGUCAAUUAGAACAAGGUAGCACAAGGGAAGUCGGCAAAAUCGAUCGGCAACUUCGGGAUAACGAUUGGCUCUAAGUGCUAGGGUGUUCGGGCUUGAUGAUAAAGCAGUAGACUUGCUAUUGGAGCUGAGCUUUCGGAUACAGCAAUGUGUCUGAUCGUUCGGACUAGUGGCUUGUCUUGCUGUGGAAUUGUUUUGCUACGGUAUGCGAUUCGCUUGCGGGUCGUAUUACUUCGGACAUCGUUUAAUAGCAAACUUAGAACUCGCUGCGUCUAGGGGAAUCCGACUGUCUAAUUAAAACAGAGCUUUGCGAUUGGCCGGAAAACUUGGUGUUGACGCAAAGUGAUUUCUGCCCAGUGCUCUGAAUGUUAACGUGAAGAAAUUCAAAUAAGCGCGGGUAAACGGCGGGAGUAACUAUGACUCUCUUCUGGUAGCCAAAUGCCUCGUCAUCUAAUUAGUGACGCGCAUGAAUGGAUUAACGAGAUUCCCACUGUCCCUGUCUACUAUCUAGCGAAACCACAGCCAAGGGAACGGGCUUGGACUUCAAUGCGGGGAAAGAAGACCCUGUUGAGCUUGACUCUAAUCUGUCUUCGUAAAGAGACUUGAAAAAUGUAGCGUAGAUGGGAGUGGCAACACGUCAAUGAAACACCAUUAUUUUCAUUGUUUCUUUACUUACUUGGUUAUACAGAGAUUGGAUUUUAUAUCCAGUGUUUGAGUGACAAAUAUCGAUACUUGUAUCGGUGUGAUCUGCUUCAAGGAAAGAGACAGGUGGGGAGUUUGGCUGGGGCGGUACAUCUAUCAAAUGUUAACGUAGGUGUCCAAAAGUUGACUCAGUGCGGACAGAAACCACACAUUGAGUAAAAGGGCAUAAGUCAGCUUGAUUUAGAUUUUCAGUACGAAUACAGACGGAGAAAUCCGGGCCUAUCGAUCCUUUUGAUUUAACGAGUUUUUUGCAAGAGGUGACAGAAAAGUUACCACAGGGAUAACUGGCUUGUGGCGGCCAAGCGUUCAUAGCGACGUCGCUUUUUGAUCCUUCGAUGUC
rnacentral:rRNA from 1 species